rnacentral:rRNA from 1 species
GACGAACGCUGGCGGCGUGCUUAACACAUGCAAGUCGAACGGUAAGGCCCCUUCGGGGGUACACGAGUGGCGAACGGGUGAGUAACACGUGAGCAACCUGCCCUUGACUUUGGGAUACCAGCUGGAAACAGCUGCUAAUACCGGAUAUGACCUCUUCUCUCAUGGGUUGAGGUGGAAAGCUCCGGCGGUCAGGGAUGGGCUCGCGGCCUAUCAGCUUGUUGGUGAGGUAAUGGCUCACCAAGGCUUCGACGGGUAGCCGGCCUGAGAGAGCGACCGGCCACACUGGGACUGAGAUACGGCCCAGACUCCUACGGGAGGCAGCAGUGGGGAAUAUUGCACAAUGGGCGCAAGCCUGAUGCAGCAACGCCGCGUGCGGGAUGACGGCCUUCGGGUUGUAAACCGCUUUCAGUAGGGACGAAGCUAACGUGACGGUACCUACAGAAGAAGGACCGGCUAACUACGUGCCAGCAGCCGCGGUGAUACGUAGGGUCCGAGCGUUGUCCGGAAUUAUUGGGCGUAAAGGGCUUGUAGGCGGUCCGUCGCGUCAGGAGUGAAAACUCGGGGCUUAACCCCGAGCCUGCUUUUGAUACGGGCGGACUAGAGGGAUGCAGGGGAGAACGGAAUUCCUGGUGGAGCGGUGGAAUGCGCAGAUAUCAGGAGGAACACCGGUGGCGAAGGCGGUUCUCUGGGCAUCACCUGACGCUGAGAAGCGAAAGCGUGGGGAGCAAACAGGCUUAGAUACCCUGGUAGUCCACGCCGUAAACGGUGGGCACUAGGUGUGGGGGACAUUCCACGUUCUCCGUGCCGAAGCUAACGCAUUAAGUGCCCCGCCUGGGGAGUACGGCCGCAAGGCUAAAACCCAAAGGAAUUGACGGGGGCCCGCACAAGCGGCGGAGCAUGCGGAUUAAUUCGAUGCAACGCGAAGAACCUUACCUGGGUUUGACAUACACCGGAAAGCUGCAGAGAUGUAGCCCCCACAAGGUCGGUGUACAGGUGGUGCAUGGCUGUCGUCAGCUCGUGUCGUGAGAUGUUGGGUUAAGUCCCGCAACGAGCGCAACCCUCGUCCUAUGUUGCCAGCGGGUAAUGCCGGGGACUCAUAGGAGACUGCCGGGGUCAACUCGGAGGAAGGUGGGGAUGACGUCAAGUCAUCAUGCCCCUUAAGCCCAGGGCUUCACGCAUGCUACAAUGGCCGGUGCAAAGGGCUGCGAUACCGCAAGGUGGAGCGAAUCCCAAAAAGCCGGUCUCAGUUCGGAUUGGGGUCUGCAACUCGACCCCAUGAAGUCGGAGUCGCUAGUAAUCGCAGAUCAGCAACGCUGCGGUGAAUACGUUCCCGGGCCU